GCGCGAAUCCCAGCACACAACGCGGAAGAUUAUCGUAGAGUUAGAUUGGUUUGUUUAGUAGUCAUAGUCACGGUCCAUGUUUAGAGUUCGUUCACGCUGGAUUAUCCGCUCCCAGUUCCUCGUCAUAGUUGAUGUUUCUCGUUUAGUUUAUCGACCCUGUUUUCCGUGACACGACCUUGAUUCAUGUUUAACCCUGUGUAUGCCUGUUUGCCGAUCGCCUGACCUUCGCCUGUUUUGGAUUAUGUUUUGGAUUUGUCUGCCUGUCUCUCUUUUAAAAUAAACAACUGUUCAUACUGCAAUUGCAUCCGUCCUAUCUCCGCUCCGUCACGAUACGUGACAUCGAGUUAAACCUGAUUUCACAUCGGAUAGCCCAGAAGAAGCUCAUUAAAGCCUACAGGAAGUUGUCACAGCAGUGACACCCAGACAACUUCCAGGAUCCUGAAGAGAAGAACAAGGCUGAGAAGAAGUUCAUAGACAUCCCACAGGCCAAGGAAGUGCUCACUGAGCCAGAAACGAGGAGUUCAUUUGACAAGGGUGAAGACCCAAUGGACCCUGAGAGCAAGCACGGAGAAGGCCAUCACCAUUUCCACGGGGCCUGGGAGAGUUUCCAGGGCUUUAACCCUUUUGGCUCUGGACUGUUCAACUUUAAAUUCAACUUUAACUGAGAUCAUCCAGGAGGACAUCAGUCUGAUCUGAAUAUAUAGCAUCAGGCAUCCAGCGAGAAGUGUAACCUGUUGAACCUGUUUGACACUAACUGCCAUAGAUGUGGCUACAGAAGCCACUGUGGCAUGAAGAUGCAUCAUAUGCUGUUGAAUAUUCUCAGACUUGCCAAGCUGAGCUAAGUGGUAUUAUAUAAAGUAAUUAUUUCAGGGACCAUCAGAGUGUGGGGGUUCAUUCCCAAGCAACCAACUAUCCUAAAACUAUUGUGUGUGUGUGUGUGUGUGUGUGUGUGUGUGUGUGUGUAGGAGACUGCACUAUUUUUCUAUCAGUUAAAUAAUGCUGCAUUGUAAAUACACAAUUAAAGAUAUUACGUAUUUAAUUAAAAAGAAAGUGACAUUAUUCUCGGAUU